AAAGUUCCUGGUGCCCAGUCCCAGCUUUCUCACCACAAGCACUGUUUAGAUAUGGUUGAUUGGUUUUUUGAUUAGGUGCACCCUUCAACACUUACACAUGGUUUACCUUCAUCAUGCAUCUCCAUUACAUGCCUACUGUCACACUUCACAGAUCUGCCAACCAAGGUAACAGUGUUUCCACCAAGCUGUUCAAUGCCUGGAGUGGCACGCUGGAACUUCCAGAGGCUUGUAGACCUGAAGCAGUGUGAUGUGGUACAGUCUUAACAGCUGGAGUCGUGUGCCCUGCAACUGCUAAACUGGCCAUGAAAGGUGAUACAGAUCUGCCACCAGGCUUUCAGCUGCAGUCACAGUAGUCCUCUGCUGUGGUAUUUAAUUUACCGGCUGCACCAGUUCUUACUACACUGGCCGUGAAGGGAGAAACAUUGAUGGAUACAGAUCUGCCAUGCACUCCACCACUGCCCGACAGCCUCACCCAGAAGGGAAUUACACUGGGCCUAUCGAGACUGACGGCUAACUAGAAAAAAUAAAACAUAUACACUCUCUCACACACAUUUGAUUUUGAUUAGUAUGUAAAUAUAUCGUGAUUACUUGUUUAUUUUCUAUGUAUGCUCCAUUUUAUUAUGAUUGGAAAUGUUUAGUCCUACAGAUUGUGUUAUCCAUGUCCAUUGUGGGAAAUGGAUAUGUGCAGUUGUGCUUACUCACAGUUGGUGGAAAGGUAAGGAGAGAUGGUGGCUGACAAGGAAAAAUAAAAUACAAUAUGUGCACACACA